UACGAAGGGGGCUAGCGUUGCUCGGAAUUACUGGGCGUAAAGCGCACGUAGGCGGCUUCUUAAGUCGGUGGUGAAAUCCUGGAGCUCAACUCCAGAACUGCCUUCGAUACUGGGAGCUCGAGUCCGGGAGAGGUGAGUGGGAACUGCGAGUGUAGAGGUGAAAUUCGUAGAUAUUCGCAAGAACACCAGUGGCGAAGGCGGCUCACUGGCCCGGUACUGGACGCUGAGGUGCGAAAGCG
rnacentral:rRNA from 1 species